GGGCUGUUGGGAGGCACAUGGACCCUGGGAGGAUGGUAGUUGCUGUAGCCCUUCUCUCACAGGAGGAAGAUACCAGGCCCCACCUUGCCUAUCCACCACGAGUCAGGCUCAGAGGUAGCCUGCACAGUGGCACUGGACCUGUAGGCGUGUAUGCACCUAUCCCCACCAGAACCUACGGUCUCAUUGAGACUUCAUCAGUUAAGGUUGUGAACUGGAUCUGGAUUGGGCUGAGCCUCCAGUCUUGCCCUCCCCCGCCCUGCCCCAGGCCAGGCCCAGUGCAUAGGCAGUGUUUUCAUCCAGAGAUUUCAGUAGACUCUCAGUGUUGAGGAUUCCUCUUGCUGGUGGAUGAGGAGGCCCUCCCAAGGCCUGGAGCCCCCUUCCUGGAGCAGAGGAGUCCAGCACACAGAGGGUUAAACGCUGAUGAUGGCUUUGUCUCUGCAUCAGUGUACAUAAUGUGCUGUGCAUUUGCAUACUGCAGUGUGCGCUCAAUUAAAAUGAACUUUUAAUUUCUUCUAAGUAAAUUACUUCUUGCCGGUACGUGAUGUGCACAAAUGUCAGAAUAAUGGGAGAGCCUUAAUGAGCUGGGGAGUAGAUCUUGUGGGGGCUGCCUGAAACAACCCCUGAAACACACGCGUCUUCAUGCCACACCAGCAUGGGGCACACCCUGUCCCUCGGGCAGGCCACACACUAACCUGUGACUGCUGGUUAUAUCCAUUCCACAGUCACUGUGUAACCCUAGCUGGGCCGUGGGUGCCCUCUCACACUGUCUCUCACUCAGCAGUGAUCUUCUCCUUGUGUGCCUCAGAUACUUGCUCACUUACAGAGAGAGGGUUUCCCUGAGGGACGUAUAGAUUCACCCAGCCUCAGUUUCCCCGUCUGCUCCUCAUCUUGGCUGUACGUGAGAAUGUAAGUUUAAAGUGUUUCAAACAGCAGUCACUGAAAUCAACAGGGAGGCAGUGCAAGCAUGGUUCCCUCCACCUGCAUGGUCCAGCAGCCUGAACCCAGACCUGUAGCACCCCACGAGGGCAGGUAACACAUUGCAUCUGGACAGAGGAGGAAUGGAAAAUCAGACCAAGACACACAGCAAGUGCAGGGAUGAAGGUUGUCACCCCAAAGCCUCACCUCAUACAUUUCAAGUAUGAGAAACUGCAAGGAACACCAGCCAUCAGCACUGCAGGCACCGAUGGGGCAAGGGGAAGCCUAGCAGAGCUCCCAGGCCCCAGUACCUGCACAGCUCAUUAGCCUCGCCUGGCACUUGUUUCAGUACCUUGGAGAGGUCCAGAAACAUGCUGUGGCCCUCCACUUCAGUUGGGUUAACCAUACCCUUUAUCCACAGAGGCAGCAGACCAGAAGCCAUUGUGGUGCCACAAGCCUAGAUCAACCUGGUUUCAGGACCACAGGUCUCAUGACCCUGACAUAAUCACUUGGAACCUCUUAGCACCUCGUCUGUGCUUGGGCCUGAGGACGCUGCAGGCCACAUUUAAAUCCCCUGCUCUAGGGGCCUACAGGAUGGCUCAGAGGGUAAAAGAUGCUUGCCACUAAGUGUGACGAUCUGAGUUUGAUCCCUGGGACCCACAUCGUAGAAGACAACUGAUUCAUACACAGUUAUCCUCCCAGUUCCACAUGUACUUGGUAGCAUGUGCACGCCCAUAUGCACACACACAUACAUGCACGCGCACACAGACACAUAUACACACCCACAUACACACACACGCUCACAUGCAUGCAUGUACAUGCACACACACACACGCACACAUACACACACAUGCAUGCAUGUUCACAUGCAUACUCGCGCACACACGUACAUGCACACCCACUCAACACAUGUACACUAAGAAUAAAUGAGACACAUACCUUCCAUCCCCCCAUUCCAAGUUGUGUUGAAGCUACUCCUAAAUGUCUCUGCGACUCUAAGACCAUGUGUGGAGCACAAACAGGUCUCCCUGGGUCUGAGCCACUGCCUGGUACAGCAGAGGCAACAGUGCCUGCCACCGCUCCCCUUCGCUAUUUGACUGCUACGAUUCAGACUUCUGACAGCCCUGACUUGGCCUCUCCUAUCUCCCCGACCCCCUUGGUGGGGCCCGACUUGUCAACAGAUCUUUCUGUGCCAGCAGCAACGGUGCCAGGAGGAGGUCUACAGACUGCGGCCUCUGUGGAAGAAGGUGGCGCCAGUCGCACAAACCUUGCUGAUAAGGUAUCGCUGCACAGUGCGGCUGCGUGCAUCCUGCUCUGCAGAGGGAGGUCAGGGAGGGUUUCCUGGAAGAUAGAGGCAGCGUGUUGAUUGUGGAGGCUGCCUCAGGAGGAGUGGCCCUGAGGGGACAUGGGGUGAGGAGUCUGCCUGCCUGGGCAGGAGGAGCCGGUUUAUUUUGAGGUCACAUCUGGGAAGCUGCAAGGUGCAGUUAGCAUGGAGAAGGGGGUAGGGGAGCAACAGACCCCAUUGCCCACAUGGCUGGAGAGACAAACAUGUGGCUGUGCUCCUCAUAGGUAUGGCUGCUGAAGGACGCAGAAGAGGAAGAGAUAGGGAACCACUUUCAUCGUGGAUGGAUAGAGUGAGGGAAGGGUUUUAGGGGAAGACACACCAAGCACAACCGGCAGGGACCGUACUGGAGCCCAGGCACUGUGCAGAUGCUGAAGUCUGAAAGCUGAGUCUGGGAGGGCAGAGAGACGGCUGAGCUGACAUUGUUCCAGACAAGGAAGGUGACCCUGGCGGAGGCCCGUGUAGGGCAGAAACCUUCAGAGAUACUGCCUAUGACCAGCCCAGGUUGACAGAUGGGGAACCCAGCCACGAUCCUCCCUGGGAAGUAGGGGAGGAAGCAUCUUCCUCAAUCCCAGUGGCUGAAUCUCACAGGACAAUCCUCUCUCCGGUCCCUUCCUUCCUAUUUUUCAUAUCUAUUUUCCCCCGAAGAGGCUUGACAACUGCCACUCCCCUGGAAUUUGGGAUCUGCAUACUCAGGUGUGUACACGUGUGUGUGUGUGUGUGUGUGUGUGUGUGUGUGUAUGCUCGUGUAUGCAUGUGGGCAUGUCAGGUAUGUGGGCACGCCUGUGUGCACACAGGAGGUAGCGACAGCCCAGCUCUCCCCCCACAUUGGUGAAAUUUACAUUGAAC
rnacentral:lncRNA from 1 species